GACUCUUGAGUGGCUUUACAAAGGUAUGCAAACAAAGUGCUGGAUAAGGAUUUAACUUUUCAAUAUAAGAAUAGCAGAGAGCAUCAAUCUUAACCUAUCUGAAAUUUCCUUCACUUUUUAAAAAUUCUUUUAGAUAAAGGAGAUAAAUCUUUUUGCUGUUUCCAAGACCCCUCCUACUUAAUGAAUCUGUAGUGUUUCUUCAAAGAAUAGGAAAUAUCUCAGACUUCCAGGUUAAUUUAGGUAAGGAGUGUUUUUAGGGUU
rnacentral:lncRNA from 1 species